rnacentral:rRNA from 1 species
UACGUAGGGUGCAAGCGUUGUCCGGAAUUAUUGGGCGUAAAGAGCUCGUAGGCGGUCUGUCGCGUCUGCUGUGAAAACUCAGGGCUUAACCCUGAGCUUGCAGUGGGUACGGGCAGACUAGAGUGCGGUAGGGGAGAUUGGAAUUCCUGGUGUAGCGGUGGAAUGCGCAGAUAUCAGGAGGAACACCGGUGGCGAAGGCGGCGUUCUGGACUGUUACUGACACUGAGGAACGAAAGCCAGGGGAGCAAACGGG